AGAUAUUAGAGAAUCAAACUAGUUAAUAUUUUGGAGAAAGAAAUAUGCUGAAGAUCUGUGUGGCAACACUUUUUAACAAUUCCCACCAGCUUGAAGCGCCAGUGUUACGUGCAUGACUUUGCCACUGGGGGGACAUGGGAUAGUCGGGCACGUACAGCUCCUUUGUGACCGUGUUAAACCUUUACUGUGCCUCUCUGGUUGAGGCUCUUCGAAGAUUCAGGUGGUAAAAAGCAGCAAGCACAGUGCUUGCCUUUCAGAACUAUCACUUGGUAUGGUUCCCGAGUGAAUUCAAGUGCCUCGGUUUCUGCGUAGGGAGAGAUAUCUUGAGGUCCCUGCCAACAGGGUCUUCAGGUACAGUAAGAGCCACCUGAAAAUGGGUGGAAUGAUGGUUAUUAUUAGUCACUACAACCUCCUAUCAAUUCCAGAAGGGGUUUCUUUGAUAAAAGCCAGAUUACAGAAUAUGACCUAGGACAGAAGCUUCAGUACAUCUACUUCCCAUCCUGGAUUUCUACUAGGGGAUUUGCAUGUCCCAGGGUGCUGGCUGGAGAUGAUGGGGCUUGCAGAGGGGACUCUCAACAGUGACCUUAGAAAGAAACCCAGGUCUGCACCCCUUAUUGCCCCUCCCAGGUGGAAGAUGCAGUCAGGGAGGCAUCCUGGUCCCCCAUGUCUGUCACCCGGUGAAGGUCAAUGAGCAUCCUCCAUUGCUCACAACCAGGACACCAAGCAGGGGAUCAGCAUUCUUCUCUAAUGUUGCCAUGGCAGCAAGAGGGUCUGCCCUGGGAGAGAGCCCAUGCUUGGUUUCUCUGCGAUGUCUCUGGAUACUUCCAACAAGUCUCCCAUCACCACCUUUUAACUUGCGGAGGUUUUGAUCUCUGGAGACAAAUAGGACAAAUAGAACAAACCAGCUGUGUAAUAAGAUCAGAGCCCUGGGUGAGGGAAGCCUGGAAACAGCAGCAAUUCAGGUCCCACAGAAGAGGAAGAAAAACAAAACAAAACAAAAGAUUGCUAUGGAGUCGCAGGAGAGAUGGCAUCUGGGACUCGGAGAAGGGAGAAUUCUGUGGGCAGGAAGAGCAGUGCCCUGCACUGAGGAGGCCAGUACAUGUUUGGCAUACAUGAAGUUUACAACCGCCUAAAGGAGUGGGUACGUGGAUAACAUCUUGAUUCUUUUUUAUUCUCCUUUCCCUUCCUACCUGCCUCUUUCCUUCUGUUUCUAGAUCCCCUUGCCCCAUUAUUAU
rnacentral:lncRNA from 1 species